rnacentral:rRNA from 1 species
UUGAACGCUGGCGGCAUGCUUUACACAUGCAAGUCGAACGGUAACAGGCCUUCGGGUGCUGACGAGUGGCGAACGGGUGAGUAAUGCAUCGGAACGUGCCCAGAGGUGGGGGAUAACGCAGCGAAAGCUGUGCUAAUACCGCAUGUGAUCUGAGGAUGAAAGCGGGGGACCAGGCAGCAAUGUUUGGCCUCGCGCCUUUGGAGCGGCCGAUGUCAGAUUAGGUAGUUGGUGGGGUAAAGGCCUACCAAGCCGACGAUCUGUAGCUGGUCUGAGAGGACGACCAGCCACACUGGGACUGAGGCACGGCCCAGACUCCUACGGGAGGCAGCAGUGGGGAAUUUUGGACAAUGGGCGCAAGCCUGAUCCAGCAAUGCCGCGUGCGGGAAGAAGGCCUUCGGGUUGUAAACCGCUUUUGUACGGAACGAAAAGGCUCUGGCUAAUACCUGGGGCUGAUGACGGUACCGUAAGAAUAAGCACCGGCUAACUACGUG